CUGUUGGAAUUCCUGGGAGCAGAUUUCUUCCUGUACAUUUUAAAAAGCCAACAAGCAGUCCAAUGAGGUUUGAAGUUGUUAUUGUUUUUGCAAUGCGAACGUGAGCCUUGCUCUGAAUUGCUUCUAGCACUGUUAGAGGUCCUGGGCGUCUGGCAAGUCCUGACUCGGAUCGAGGCAGUGGGGACAGGAAGGAAGCUUUCUGUAUCCAGACCCAGAGAGCCUGCCUGGCAGAGGAAUCAGAGAGAUGGCGAUCUUGUCUUCCCAUCCAGACGGUCUUUUCUCUGGGUAGACUGAAUCUAAACCACAAUUUAUUAAGGAAGAUAAUUUGAAGAAGAUCCUAGAAGAUUCUGGAACACGUCCCCCAUUGGUUCAACAAAUAAAGCACCAAUCUGGCCAGCUACAUCUAAGACCACCAGUGGCAGAGUCGGAAAUACCAAAUUGAUAAAGCUCAAAGCCAAAAAUUAGGGCCUUCUGGUUCUAAAUCAAGCACUCUGUAACUUAGGAAGAAGUCACAUCUCUUGCCUGUGCCUCAAUUUAAUCACAUCUUGAGAAGAUUAUAAUACAAUUUAAAUAAUUUUUUCAUAUUACCCCCACCCCUGUGGUCCAGAAAUAAAUCCUAGAAUCAAGAGCAAGGAAGCAUAAAGUGAAACAGACUCCUUCACUCAUCCUAUCUUUCACCCCUAUGCCUCGCCUCUCCUCUCCUUCCUGAGUAAAGGAAGAGAAAGAAACAUGAAGGAAGAUAGAGAGGAAACUAGGACAGGUGGGAAAAUACAUUAACGGAAGGGUGACACAAUGCCAUUCAGUUUCCUGAUUGCCACUGAACAGGGUCUGAGAUCUGAGUGCUGUGAUGUGAGAUUAUGAGAGUCUUCAGCUCAAUGAUGGGAAGAGUGCAACUUGAUCUACUGGGGGCUAACAUGGAUGAAGUACCCUUAACUCCUCUAGGCUUCAGUUUGCCCACGGAAAUUUCUACCUUCAAUAUUCAGACAGCCGAAGGAAUUUUAAAAUAUAGAUUUAUAUACAUAGAUAUGUGCUUGAGGAACUAAUAGUAUCAUUAAAAUGGAAAAAUUAUGGUUA